UGCACGUCUAAGUACAUACUUUGAUGAAAAGUGAAACUGCGAACGGCUCAGUACAACGGUCACAAUUUACUGGUCGAUAGUUUUUAAUUGGAUAACUGUGGCAAUUCUAGAGCUAAUACAUGCACUAUGCUCCGAGCGCGGGUGACCGUGCGACGAGCGCGUUUAUCAGUUUGAAGCCAGCGGGGCUAUUGGCCUUCAAUUGACUCUAGAUAACUUAGCUGAUCGUGAGGCGUAUGCCGAAUGCGACGCGGCCAUAAAAGGUCUGCCCUAUCACACUGUCGAUGGUCGGCGCUCUGCCCACCAUGGUGAUAACGGGUGACGGGGGAUCAGGGUUCGAUUCCGGAGAGGGAGCAUGAGAAACGGCUGCCACAUCCAUGGAAGGCAGCAGGCGCGCAACUUACCCAAUCUCGAUACGAGGAGGUAGUGACGAAAAAUAUCAGUGCGGGGUUCAUCGAAUGCCCGCUACUGAAAUGAGCGCAAUGUAAGCAUUUGCGCGAGGAUCGAUUGGAGGGCAAGUCUGGUGCCAGCAGCCGCGGUAAUUCCAGCUCCAAUAGUGUAUAUAUAUGUUGUUGCGGUUAAAACGCUCGUAGUUGGAAUCCAGUUUCGCUAGGCGGCGGCAGGAAACGGAUUACGCCGCAUGAAAAUUGCGGUACCGUUGAGCCGUCGUUGCAAGAUCCCAUAUAGCCGGACCUUCUGCAGUGCGGGUCAAUCCGCACUUGUGGAUGGCCGGCGACGAUACUUUGUAAAAAAUAGAGUGCUCAAAGCAGGCAGGUAUUUUGCUCGCAUAAGUUAUACAUCGAAUAAUUGAAUACGACCCCGCUUCCAAUUUUGCUGGCCUUUGCGGUAAGCGUGGGUAAUGAUUGACAGAAACUGCGCGGGGGCAUUCGUAUUGCGCCGGGAGAGGUGAAAUUCUAGGAUCGGCGCAAGACGGACCGAGGCGAAGGCAUUUGCCAAGGAUGUUUUCGUUAAUCAAGAACCAACGUUAGAGGUUCGAAGACGAUCAGAUACCGUCGUAGUUCUGACCCUAAACUAUGCCAACUGGCCGCCCGCAAGCGUAGUGCUAAUAUUUCCGUCUGUGACCUUGCGGGUGGUCAAGCCCGAAAGGAAAGUUUUUGGGCUCCGGGGGAAGUAUGGUUGCAAAACUGGAACUUAAAGGAAUUGACGGAAGGGCACCACAAGGAGUGGAGCCUGCGGCUUAAUUUGACUCAACACGGGGAAACUUACCCGGUCCGGACACUGGAAUGAUUGACAGACUCGAGCUCUUUCUUGAUCCAUGGGGUGGUGGUGCAUGGCCGUUCUUAGUUCGUGGAGCGAUUUGUCUGGUUAAUUCCGCUAACGAGACGAGACCCCAGCCUGCUAACAUAGUUCGCCGACACCCGUUUGUCGCGCGAUGACGCGUUCCACGCUCUCGUGGUUCGCUAAACUUCUUAGAGGGACCGAUAGCUUUCAAAAAGCUGCAUGAAGUGGAGCCAUAACAGGUCUGUGAUGCCCUUAGAUGUCCGGGGCCGCACGCGUGCUACAUUGAUAGAAUCAGUGCGGUUCUAUGAAGGCCCGCUCCGCAAGGAGCGCGGAAAACAUUAGUUGCUAUUUUAGUUGGGAUCGUGGCUUGCAAUUUCGCCUCGUGAACGAGGAAUUCCCCGUAAUCGCCAGUCAUCAACUUGCGCUGACUGCGUCCCUGCCCUUUGUACACACCGCCCGUCGCUACUACCGAUUGAGUGGUUUAGUGAGACAUUCGGACUGGAAAUUGCCUCGGCAGUCAGACGGAAAGUUUGUCGAACUUUAUCAUUUAGAGGAAGUAAAAGUCGUAACAAGGUUUCC
rnacentral:rRNA from 1 species